CCGCACUAAAGGCUGCUCGGUGUUUAUGAUUCGGAUUAAAGACAUUCCUACAGCGAGAGACGAUAAGAUUUACAAGAAGCUCUCACGGCAAAUCAGUACUUAAUGAUACAAUGGGCUGUGUUCUCUCCGUGUGCAUCUUUACUUUGCCGGCGCUCUAUAAUUUCAGAGAACGCCUGUUGAUUACCAAAGUAAACGUCCAACAUUAUUUGUUCCCUCCUGCAUUGCACGUUCGCGACAAUCCAUGAUGUGGUGUGUCAACAGAAGAAUUGUCUCAUUUAAUAAGAUUAUAUAUAAAAAUUAAAUUUUACGACUGAUAAGACGUGCUCUGAUGGAAAGGGCCGCUCGCGUUGAACGCGAAACUCUCUUGAUGGCAGGAACUCUCGUGGAAGAUACGCGUGUAACGUGAGAUUUUUCAAACUGUCCGAUCAUGAAAGAGGUCGGAUCAGUACACACGGUAUCGACGUGUGUACACGUCCGUCAAUUUAGGAUAGCGUCAGAGCGUGACGGUAGAAUUACGUAAUGCGUGCGUGUUCAAUGUGUGCGAGCGCGUACAUGACGCUUGGAAGUAUCGUUUGUGGUUUGCCUCGCGUGUCUUUUUUUUCACCCAGUGCACACGAUGACUACAAAGGGUGGACAACGUGUUUGCGUAUGCAUACCUUGGAGGAUUUGUUAGCUCUUUUUUCGCGGCAUAACAUACCCGCGGGUGUUAUGACGGAAUAGACGCGAUGCUAUGACACGGCAGUUUUCCCUCGAUGGUUUUUGUUAACCCGUUUGCAUCAGCAAGCAGAAUAUUCUGCGAGCACGACUCAGGUCAUUGCGACGGAAUAUUCCAGGCACUCAAAGGUCGAUGAUGCAAAUGUGUUACUUUAUCGAUAACGAAACGGGUUAGCUUAGCGCUUUUAUAAAAAGAGACAUUGAAUAAUUGUUUUUUUUUUUUCUAAGUCAAGUACAUACUUUAUACAUAAUUAUAAUUGUUAUGUACAAAGAGAUAUUUCUUACGAGGAGGGAGUUCAUUCAAAUUGCACAGAUAGAUCACUUGAGAAUUAAACAACGAAAACUAUAUACUGUUCAAGGAAAAUGUGACAAAAUUCGAAUAAAAUAAAAAUUCGAAGUAAAUAACCGCCUUUAGAGAAUAAAAUCAACCAAAAUUGUCGAUAUCCUGUUAGUCGUUUCAUUCAAACGACGAUACGUCACGUCGCGUCGGUGUAUUGUAUCGAUCCAUGUUACUCCGAUUAAAUGACAUCGCACUGAAACGCGCGCGUGCGGUCGUUACGAUGCAUCGGUCUUCAUUUGCUAUUCUUUCUUUUUUUUUUUUUUUCGUUCGCACCUCUGUCAAAGAGCAUAACAACUCGGCGUUCAACGCAACGUUUUACAAAGCUUGUUCCCUCCGGCGAAGAUUCGCAGUACGGUCGUUACCGAAAAGAUACACGCGCACAGCUCGCCGUGUAAAUGAACAACGCCGACGGAGUAAUGACGAUUUAAUGGCACGCUCUGCAGGCGUAAUGAUUUCGACGCGUACAUGUCCGGUUGUGCGCGGCCAUAUGGACGCGGACGGUGUUGAUCGCGGUUCCGAAGCGUUCUUCACGCUUCUCGCUGCUGUCCCGCCAUACAUGCUAAAAUUAUAAAAUUAUGAAGCGCGUGUAUACAAUCCUGUUGCUGAUUAUUUUAUCAUGACUCUGCACAUAAUCUACGUCCAAUAAUUUCUUUACGGUAUUAUAUGUUUUCGACGUCGAACGGGAGACAUCGUUUGCAAUCUUACCGCACCACAAUUUAAUAAACAGCCAGUCGUGACCCUCAGAUACCACUAACAGGACGCGUGUCCGCACGUGGUACACGAAGAUUUUGACAAAGUUUCAUAGGCUCAUAAGUUUGAUAAGUCCUGACAUCUUGAAAGAUAUUACGACGCCCACAUAAUGAAAUUGAUCGCAAUUCUUUGCUUACAAACAAACUUGCUUCGGAAACUUCGUAUAUUCCAGAAAUAUCUCUCGAUAGUAUCCCAAGAAAAAGAAAAAAAGAAAGAAAAAAGAUGAAAAAAUACAUGAAAAUUAACUAUAUUGAAUGAACAAUUGCACUUUGAGCUUGGAAUAUUAAAUUUAAGGAUUUAAAAUUGAUAAUAGGAGAAGAAAUAAACGAAGAGACGCAACGCGAGAUGGAGGCCGCUAAGUCGCGACGCCGCGCGACGCGUCGUCGAUUUGCAUAGGCUAAUGAAUAUGUUAAAUCAAUUUCACAAAACGAGCGAAGUCCACGGAGGGUAAGUGGGCACCGGUCGGUCGCGCGACCGUAGAACGAGGCGCGGAAGCCUGUUAUUAUUGUAAUUGCUGCGCGUGUAAAACCGCGUGUGGAAAAUGAGCCUAAUGUGACGUGUGCGGGCGGCGGUGUAUACGUAUCACACAUUUGCUUGCAUGUACAAAUACACAAAUGCAUUCUCGCGAGAUAGAAUAGAGAAUGAACCAAUACGUAAAGGGUGCAACGUGCGACAGCUUUUACCAAAAUGAUCCUGUUAAAAUUUCCCGUUCAUGUACUAUAAAAUUCACCCUCGCAUUUAAAAAUUCUAUUCUUGUAUUCUUUUAUACAUACAGAUCUUGUAAUAUUUGCUGACAUCUUUAACUUCCUUAAAAGUUAGUUACUUUCACCACUGCUCGUUAAGCACCAUAAACGAACGAUAUGUGUUCCUCGAAAGAUAGAAACAAACGAGAGGAAUAACACGUAGCAGAAGCAAACGAGGAAGGUACAAAAUCGAAGGAGAGGCUAAAGGAUGACAAUGAGAGAGAAAGAGAAAGAGCCGGCUCGGUGUGUGGUAUGCAAAAUCUCUCGUUCGUUUAACGAGGGAAGCGAAUCUUGAAGACGAUUCUCGAGGUCUUUUUCGCGUGCGGCGGAAAAGAUGUUCUUCGUAUGGUAUGCAUCCAUAUGUCGAAUAGCCACAGGACGGGCAGAGAGACGAAAGAGAGAGUAUAGGGGCAGAAAAAGAGAAAAACGGAGAUAGAGUAAGAUAUAGACGAACACACUCGGAAAGCAGAGGCGAGUCGAAAGAAGAACAGGAGAUGCCCCUUCUCGCCGAUCUCUUUCUCGCCCCGCAGCUGCCACGAAAAACUUCUCCGAGCGAACUCUGAAAAACUGCUCUGCCUAACGAACCAUCGCCCAUUCCAAUUUAACCGGGAACGCCACUUACGCUAGCGCGAGGCAAUGCGACGCGACACAACGCGAUGUGCCAACCCGUUCUCAUUGCUUCCUUUUCCGUUGCAUAUGCAGACUCAUCGUACCUACUAUAUUCUUCCUGGGUGCUUCUAUCAAACUUUUCACAGAGUAUACCCUAAUUUUUCUCGUGCUUAUCAAUUUGAAAUUGAAUUUAUUAGUUUUAGGUCAUGUAUGAUAUAAUAUACAUGGAGUAUAUUAUAUGAAUCAAAUUGCGUAUACUUGAAUCAACACGAAAAGAGGCAGAGAUAUCGUUAAAUUUUAAAUAAUGCCGCCGAUGUUGAGCCACGUGGGCCGUUUAUAUGGAACGGAUUAAGUGAGGCCUCGCUACCGCGCUAAACUUAUGCAAUCCCUUAUCACAGCCGGUUGGAUCCUCAUCGUAAAUACGGUUGCAACAGCUUAUAAUCCGAAAACACAUAGUCGACAGAGCGGCGCUCCGAGUCUGACCCCCUUCCUCUUCUUCUUACCCUGUUCCCCGCUAUGCAAAUACCGUCGAAGUAAUGGGUACUCAUCGCUCCAAUAAACACGCUCAUCCGCCUUUCGAGACGGGAGAGAGCAAGCGAGAAGCGAAAUAUUUGAGAAGAAAAACUAAAGGCGACAUUAUCAGCAUUUAUUGGCGGGAUCACGAAUUCGCCGACGAUCCCAAAGCCAUGUAUAAACAAGUCGGGCCAUCCAGUUAUCCAUGCGAAAUUAUGUCCAGGUGAUAUCUUCGCGUGAAUUCUCGCGUUAUCAUUAAUAUAGAAACUCUGCGGAGAGCGCGGUUUUUCUGAUCCGAGAAGACGUUCGUUGGAAACGGGGAACCGGUUCACUUAGCGUAAUCGUGCGGGUAAAUGACGAUUUGGGGCUCGGAAUUACACGUCGGAAGGGAAUCCGCAGUUGUUCACGUUAAUCAGGCGCGAAGCGCGAGAAGCGGAUUUUACGGCGUAAUCGUCUGGUAAAGAGAAACUCGAAGAUGGAAGUUGCGCUCGAAUGCGUGCAAAUAAUUUCGUUUGACGAUCCGCGGAACGAGCGCAAUUAUUCGCUUCAGUCUGAAGUAUGAAAAGCUAGCUUACCAGAGAUCUGGUGAUAGAGAAUGAAGUAAAUAAGCGAUUUUCGAUUGCCUGCUAUCGCGCCCGAUAAAUAGCGCCAAUAUCCAACAAACAACGAUUAAAGACCGCGAAAUGUUUUCGUGGUGAUUCCCGUUCUUCAAAACUUGAUAUAAAUUUACGAUAGCAGCGGCACAAGCACAACGACAGCGGCUGAGCUAAUAGAAAUUCGUCAACGACUUCGAUUGUCUGUCGUUUCGUUAAAACGCUAAAUAAGGCCUAUUUAUAAUUCGGUAGACGGCAAGCAAAAUCGAUUAACCUGUUGCGCGCGAUCAGAUUUUCCUAAAUACUUAAAGAAGACAACGCACUCCACAUGACGCUCUCUUCCGUUCUAAGCACUUACUGAUAAGCGUCUCUAACACGUCUAUUUUUUUCAUCAAAUAAAAUUAACAUAACACUUAUUUUUUAGAUUGCAAAAAAAUAAAUAUUAUAGAAUAAUGUGUUAAAAAAUAAUUCUAUAAAUAAAUCAAGACAGAAAACUAAAGAAUAAAAACGAUUAUACCAAUUUUUACGAUUUUGUAUUAUAAUUUUGAUAAACUUGAGAA